CUCCCGGGCUGCCAAGUGCAGCGCAGUGCUCUGAUCACAACAACAACAACAACAACAACAACACGAUUUGUGAAUUCAAAUCAUCAACGAACCAACACAUCACCAGGCACGUUUAUCCCAUUCAUUCAUUCAUUCAUUCAUUCAUUCAUUCAUUCAUUCAUUCAGUAUCUGAAGAAUAAAAACAUUUCAAAAUGAAUAAAGAGGGUGCUUAUUGCUGGUAGAAUGUCUGGCUAGGCUUCACAUCAUGAUUGUUUUGUUUUGUGUUUAGUUUUAUUUUGUGUACUUAUAGGUUGUCUGAAUGAAACAUUAAGGUUGUCUGAAUGAAACAUUAAGGUUGUCUGAAUGAAACAUUAAGGUUGUCUGAAUGAAACAUAGAGGUUGUCUGAAUGAAACAUUAAGGUUGUCUGAAUGAAACAUUAAGGUUGUCUGAAUGAAACAUAGAGGUUGUCUGAAUGAAACAUUAAGGUUGUCUGAAUGAAACAUUAAGGUUGUCUGAAUGAAACAUAGAGGUUGUCUGAAUGAAACAUUAAGGUUGUCUGAAUGAAACAUAGAGGUUGUCUGAAUGAAACAUUAAGGUUGUCUGAAUGAAACAUAGAGGUUGUCUGAAUGAAACAUAGAGGUUGUCCGAACCCCAUCCUCAUCCAGCUUGUCCAGUAGUUUGAUGUUGGUGGCCAGGACGAUCUUCAUGGUCUGGGUGUACCCCUCUGACGCUGCAUGGUGUAAACAGCUCCUCCCUUUGUAAUCACUAUGGAAGAGACAGACAGACAGACAGACAACACUGAGGAAUAGACAGACAGACAGACAGACAGACAGACAGACAGACAGACAGACAGACAGACAGACAGACAGACAGACAGACAGACAGACAGACAGACAGACAGACAGACAGACAGACAGACAGACAGACAGACAGACAGACAGACAGACAGACAGACAGACAGACAGACAGCACUAGGGACAAAUACAGCAGGACUUUGUCACACUAUCACACUAUGACAUCCUGCUAUGUAGAGUUGCCCACUGCAGAAAUAUAAUGAAUGGAAUGGGCGUGGAUCCUCUGAUCCUGGCACUUUGACUGGUAAAGUCACGGGACCACUCCCUAUGGCUGCCUGUGAUGCAGUCAUUUCCAUUGUAAUGUCGAUCAAAUUAUGUUCAAAUUAUGUUCAUUAACUGACGUGGUUCAUGCAAUGGAAUGUAUUUUUUGUUACGUGAGUUGAUUCAACAAGUCACAGAUUGAUGGAUACACUUCCUGCUUUUACCUUCAUGCUUAGCUUCUCUGUGCAAGAAUGGGUAACCGCAUCGAGUAUGUCUGGAAGUGGGCGUGUCAACAGCUAAUUGGACCGAAUUGUUGCCGUUUUGCGAGGCUGAUUGGGCUGCACAACGAGUCGAUUUUUGACAACUGUAGAAUUUUGGCUAAGCCUAUUCCUUUCUCUAACUUUAACCUCAUUAUC